rnacentral:rRNA from 1 species
UGACCUCAAAUCAGGUAGGACUACCCGCUGAACUUAAGCAUAUCAAUAAGCGGAGGAAAAGAAACUAACAAGGAUUCCCUUAGUAACUGCGAGUGAAGCGGGAAAAGCUCAAAUUUAAAAUCUGACGGUCUUUGGCUGUCCGAGUUGUAAUCUAGAGAAGUGUUAUCCGCGCUGGACCGUGUACAAGUCUCCUGGAAUGGAGCGUCAUAGAGGGUGAGAAUCCCGUCUUUGACACGGACUACCAGGGCUUUGUGAUGCGCUCUCAAAGAGUCGAGUUGUUUGGGAAUGCAGCUCAAAAUGGGUGGUAAAUUCCAUCUAAAGCUAAAUAUUGGCGAGAGACCGAUAGCGAACAAGUACCGUGAGGGAAAGAUGAAAAGAACUUUGGAAAGAGAGUUAAACAGUACGU